UUGAAAGAAUCUAGGAGCUUAAGGAUUUUCUGAAGUUAAAGGGAUUGCAGCGGAUCGAGGUACAGAUGAAUCUACUGAGGAGCUGAGUAUUUCUAAGGAGGGAGGGGCUGAUGUUUAGUAGUCCCUUGGUAGUUUGGUUUCUUUUUAUGAAAAUAUAUGUUUCUUAUGUUUUAAUACUGGACCCCACACGAGGAUGUUUUAUUGAGUUAACUUCUAGACAAGAUACCUUCGGGUAUAAAGUAUAUAGUAGGAUAAUGGAAACUCCUCCUGCUUUAAGUUAGUUUCCUUUUGUAAAGACUAAAGGGACUGAGUCCCUUUUUGUUUAAAGUAGUUAUGUUAAAUAAAUAGAUGACGGACUCUGAGAGUCCUUUGUAAAGGAAUG